rnacentral:rRNA from 1 species
UAAUAUAUUUUAAAUUAGGUAAUAAUGAUAUAUCUGAAACCUAAAGAACUUGGCGGUGUUUUAAAUAAUUGGAGGAACUUGUUGUUUAAUUGAAACUCCACAACAAAUCUUCCCCCAUUUUUGUUUGUAUAUCGUUGUUUUAAGACGACAUUUUUAAAUGUAGUCAAGAUUAAGAAUUUUUACAAAAUCAAAUCAAGGUGCAGCAUAAUAGGGUUACAGUGAGUUACAAUAUGUUUUAUGUAAACGAAAACGACAUGAAAAUUAAAUGGAAGGUGGAUUCAAAAGUAAUAAAAAAUUAAGAAGUUUUUAUGAAUAAAAAUUUAAAACAUGC